AGGAAAAGAAACCAACAGGGAUUGCCCCAGUAACGGCGAGUGAAGCGGCAACAGCUCAAAUUUGAAAUCUGGCUCUCGGGCCCGAGUUGUAAUUUGUAGAGGAUGCUUUUGGUGAGGUGCCUUCUGAGUUCCCUGGAACGGGACGCCAGAGAGGGUGAGAGCCCCGUAUAGUCGGCCACCGAUCCUUUGUAAAGCUCCUUCGACGAGUCGAGUAGUUUGGGAAUGCUGCUCAAAAUGGGAGGUAUAUCUCUUCUAAAGCUAAAUAUAGGCCAGAGACCGAUAGCGCACAAGUAGAGUGAUCGAAAGAUGAAAAGCACUUUGAAAAGAGGGUUAAAUAGCACGUGAAAUUGUUGAAAGGGAAGCGCUUGUGACCAGACUUGUGCCGGGCUGAUCAUCCGUCCUUUUGGGCGGUGCACUCGACCCGGCUCAGGCCAGCGUCGGUUCUCGUAGGGGGAUAAAAGCUUCGGGAACGUGGCUCCUUCGGGAGUGUUAUAGCCCGUUGCUUAAUACCCUUGUGGGGACCGAGGUUCGCGCUCUGCAAGGACGC
rnacentral:rRNA from 1 species